rnacentral:rRNA from 1 species
AACGCUAGCUACAGGCUUAACACAUGCAAGUCGAGGGGCAGCAUGAACUUAGCUUGCUAAGUUUGAUGGCGACCGGCGCACGGGUGAGUAACACGUAUCCAACCUGCCGAUGACUCGGGGAUAGCCUUUCGAAAGAAAGAUUAAUACCCGAUGGCAUAGUUCUUCCGCAUGGUAGAACUAUUAAAGAAUUUCGGUCAUCGAUGGGGAUGCGUUCCAUUAGGUUGUUGGCGGGGUAACGGCCCACCAAGCCUUCGAUGGAUAGGGGUUCUGAGAGGAAGGUCCCCCACAUUGGAACUGAGACACGGUCCAAACUCCUACGGGAGGCAGCAGUGAGGAAUAUUGGUCAAUGGACGAGAGUCUGAACCAGCCAAGUAGCGUGAAGGAUGACUGCCCUAUGGGUUGUAAACUUCUUUUAUACGGGAAUAAAGUGAGGCACGUGUGCCUUUUUGUAUGUACCGUAUGAAUAAGGAUCGGCCAACUCCGUGCCAGCAGCCGCGGUAAUACGGAGGAUCCGAGCGUUAUCCGGAUUUAUUGGGUUUAAAGGGAGCGUAGGCGGACGCUUAAGUCAGUUGUGAAAGUUUGCGGCUCAACCGUAAAAUUGCAGUUGAUACUGGGUGUCUUGAGUACAGUAGAGGCAGGCGGAAUUCGUGGUGUAGCGGUGAAAUGCUUAGAUAUCACGAAGAACUCCGAUUG